rnacentral:lncRNA from 1 species
ACAGGAUGAGACCUUGUCUCACACACACACACAAAAAGAAAGGGCUGGAAUCUGAGUAGCUGAGGUGCUUAUGUGACUACAUGCCUACAUCACUGACCCCCAAUAAACACCUUGGACACAAGACUCAGAUAAAGAAACCUCAGAUCAAAUAUAAGCAUCAAAAUCUACAAAGAUUUUAGAGGGUGAAGAAACACGGAAAGAUCUCUGGUGAUGGAGCCAGCAUUGAUGAACCAAGAAAAGUCUUAAACGUGAAGAAGCCUGUGAUAAACAAGGUGACUCACCUCAUCAAAUGGAAUAGGGAUCUUCUGGCAAAGCUGCCUGGGUAAACCGCAACUCACAAGGGAUAGAAUUUCACUAAAUUCUUAAGAGGUUACAGACUCUAUUUCUAUCCUUAAAUACACUCAUUAUUUUAUCCCUGGAUAUACCCAAUUAUAGUUUAAACUUAAAUUGAAUAAAAGAUGAUGGGAAUAAUUCUAUUUUUAUUUCAGGACUGUGCCCAGGGGAAUAACAAGGAAGAAAAAUGUCAGAAGAAUUAGUUUCUCUCUAAUUGAACAAAUGUAUUUAUAUUUCCUUGUUGAUAGGCAUAGAUUCUCAAUGAGAAACUGAAACUUAUGAAGUUACAUUUAAGACUCCAGUUGUGACAAUGAUGACCAAUGCUCUUUGGUAUUACGUUUUCCAAUUCAACACAGGAAAUGAGUUGGAAUUUGUUUUGCAGUUUUUUUUUCAGCCUGUUUUGUGGAGUAUUUUUUCCUGUGAUCUGUAGAAACACAAUGAUAACAUUACGAACUUUGCCAGUCAUUGGCCCAUCAAAAAUGUUUGUAUGCUUGAAUGGGCAAGAAAUUACAUUUGAUGGAGUCCCAUGUGCCUCAUUAACUAAAUUUUUCUUUUCGGUUAUUAUUAAAGGACAGUAGGUGGCCAGGCACGAUGGCUCAUUCCUGUAAUCCCAGCAGUUCAGGAGGCCAAGGUGGGCAGAU